CAGGCUGGUUCUGCUCCCGGGCCGGCCUGAGCUCCCCAGAGGCCCUGUGUGAAGGAGGCUGGUACUGUCCUAGGGCCUCUGUCUCCGGGCACAGUCCAGACACCAUCUGCCCACCUGGGCACUGGUGCCCCUCUGGCAGCCUGGAGCCUCAGCCCUGCCUUCCUGGGCAGUAUCAGGAUGAACCUGGACAGAGUUUCUGCAAGACAUGCCCUGCUGGGAAGUUCUGUCCCAUGGGGACCCAGGGUCAAGGAUCCAGGCUCAUUAGUCCAGUGGAUUGUCCUGCUGGCUACUACUGCCCUCCAGGUACUCAGAGCCCAACCCAACACCCAUGUCCCAGGGGCACCUUCCGAGAGAGACCAGGGGCACUCAGUGCCAAGGACUGCAGUCCUUGUCCUGCAGGACAAUUCUGUGCUGAUUCAGGAUCUGGGAAACGCUUUCCAGAUGGCCCAUGCUCAGCAGGAUAUUACUGUCCGCCUGGCCAGACCUCAGCUACCCGCAAGUCUUUCCGGUGCCCCAGUGGCUUCUACUGUCCCGAGGGAUCUCCUCAGCCAAGAGCUUGUGGGAAGGGAACCUUCCAGUCCCAGGAGACACAGGGCUCCUGUGAUCCUUGCCCAGCAGGUUUCUACUGUGAAGCCUCCAGCACAGACCCAGCAGCCCAUGGCCCCAGCCUGUGUUUCCAGGGAUACUUCUGUCCCCCUGGCUCACACUCAGCCACUGCACACCCAUGUCCUCGAGGUACAUUCGGGCCCAAGAGAGGGGCCACUGCAGAGCUGGAUUGUGAGCCGUGCCCAGCAGGGAUGUUCUGCUCAUCAGAAGGGCUACCUCAACCAUCUGGGCUCUGCCACUCUGCUCACUACUGCACAGGGGGCGCCAUAUCUCCCACCCCCAUCAAACACCAAGUGGAGGUGCCUGGACUUUCUGGGAAUGAUAUCUGCCCCCCUGGCUUCUUCUGUCCCAGAGGAACAGGAUUUCCACUUCCAUGCCCCCCUGGGUUCUACUCCUCUACACCUGGCCUGGACAGCAAGGACCAGUGCCAGCCAUGCCCUGUGGGGCACUACUGUAGCCAUCCUGGGCUGUCCAGCAUCCUAGAGGCCAGGCUCUGCCAUGCAGGGUCACUACUGCCCAGCAGGGACAUCCUCCCCUCACCCCUGCCCAGAGGGAACUCUGAGCCCAAGGGAAGGUGCUCCUUCCUCCAGGGCCUGCCUGCCCUGUCCUGCAGGGAGUUAUUGCCCUGGAGAGGGCAACGGGCAGCCUGAGGGACCCUGCUCAGCUGGUUACUACUGCAAGGGCGGUGCAGCUAGCCCCACACCCUGGGGAAAUGGUGCCUUCACCCUCAAUGGGCCCUGCCCCCAAAGCCACUACUGCCCACAGGGCACUCUGUACCCUGUGCCCUGCCCUCCGGGGACAACAAGAAACAGUCCUGGUGAGCAUCUGUCUUAUGCCAACCUCCCCCCAAGGGACCCCAAGCGGCCUCUUCCACGU
rnacentral:lncRNA from 1 species